UCCCCCGUGAGGGGGCAGUCUCGCCUGAUACUUAUAACAGGCAACGAGGGUUGCGUUCGUUACCCCACUGAAGGGAACGGUUCAAACCACGAACUGACGACAGCCAUGCAUCACCUGUCCUACACCCUCGAAGGCUUCCUAGCUUUCGCUAGGCGUGCAGUAGGAUUUCUAGCCCUGGUAAGGUUCUUCGCUUAGCGACGAAUUGAGCCACACGCUCCACCGCUUGUGCAAGCUCCCGUCUAUUCCUUUGAGUUUUAGUCUUGCGACCGUACUACCCAGGCGGUCCGCUUAACGCGUUAGCUUCGCCACUCAGAGGGUCGAUACUCCGAAUAGCCAGCGGACAUAGUUUAGGGCGUGGACUAC
rnacentral:misc_RNA from 1 species